rnacentral:tRNA from 1 species
GCGGCCUUGGUGGAAUGGCAGACACGCAAGCCUUAGAAGCUUGUGAGGGUUACCUCGUGAGGGUUCAAGUCCCUCAGGCCGCA